rnacentral:rRNA from 1 species
GUCUGCAACUCGACCCCAUGAAGUCGGAGUCGCUAGUAAUCGCAGAUCAGCAACGCUGCGGUGAAUACGUUCCCGGGCCUUGUACACACCGCCCGUCACGUCACGAAAGUUGGCAACACCCGAAGCCAGUGGCCCAACCGUUUACGGAGGGAGCUGUCGAAGGUGGGGCGAGCGAUUGGGACGAAGUCGUAACAAGGUAGCCGUACCGGAAGGUGCGGCUGGAUCACCUCCUUU